rnacentral:rRNA from 1 species
UACGUAGGGUGCAAGCGUUAAUCGGAAUUACUGGGCGUAAAGCGUGCGCAGGCGGUUCGGAAAGAAAGGUGUGAAAUCCCAGGGCUUAACCUUGGAACUGCACUUUUAACUACCGGGCUAGAGUACGUCAGAGGGGGGUAGAAUUCCACGUGUAGCAGUGAAAUGCGUAGAGAUGUGGAGGAAUACCGAUGGCGAAGGCAGCCCCCUGGGAUGAUACUGACGCUCAUGCACGAAAGCGUGGGGAACAAACAGG